GCAGUGGUGGCUUAGUGGUAGAACUCUCGCCUAUCAUGCGGGAGACCAGGGUUCUGUUCCCGGCUAUUGCA
rnacentral:tRNA from 1 species